rnacentral:lncRNA from 1 species
CCCGGCGUUUUUGUGCGUCGUAUUCGGUAUGUAGCUUGAUCCUCAAGUCUGAUUUGGUAGUGUGUAGGGAUUUUUCAGUCAGAUCUGCUACUUAUCCCCCUUUGGAUCUCGCAUGUGGUAAUCCCCCGCAGCUAUUUUGAUGCAGAUGCCUUGUUGCGUUUGUUAGUGGUAUUGAAUCUCAUCUGUCUUGUGUGCUAUGUUAGGGAUUACCUUGUAGGUUUUAUUUGAUCUGUUUCAGUUAGUAGUUGGAAUUCUGGUGGUUGUCGUGGGCAGCUGCUAAUUUCGUAUAUGCUGGAUCGUGUUUCAGUGACUUUAGUGCCCUGCUCACCUUGGAUUCUCUAGUGUUUUUGUUUGUGGCUAUAGGUUAUAUAUCCCCUGGGUCGUUUGUUGAUGUAGGUUUAUAUGUAGUGUUUUUUGCGAUUUUGCUUGUAUAGCUAGUCAACAAGCUUAUGUUGUCGUAUGUAGUGUGUUUCGCUUGCAGACUUCAGCUCUGUUCUUUGUGUUUCUGUGAGACAGAAUGUCCUUUUCAUUUUCAGCUAUGUAAAUGUCUGAUUGCUCUACUAGAAAUCCCUGUUUUCUUAGUGGAUUUACAGUGUGUUUUCUUACUGUUUAACACUGUAAUUCUCAGUGGAUUUACAGUGUAAUUUCUUAGCAGAUUUACACUGUAAUUUUAAGUGAAUUUACACUGUAUUUUUUAGUGAAUUUACACUGUAAUUUUCAGUGGAUUUAUAUUGUAUGUUUAUUGGAUUUAUACUGUAAUUUGCAGUGGAUCUACACUGUAGUUCUUAGUGAAUUUACUCUGUAGUUUUUAGUUGAUCUUUCAUUGUAAUCCUAUAAGAAUUACACUAUAUCUCUUGAUUUUUACAGUGUAAUUCUUAGUGGAGUUACACUGUAAUCCUUAGUGUCUUUAUAGUGACUAUUAGUUUUUCUUGGAUUUACCUUGUAUUUGCACUGUUAACUCUUGAUUUUUACAGUGUAAUUUGCAGUGUAUUUACUCUGUAAUUCUUAGUGUAUUUUGGCUAGGGUCUAUUAGUGGGUUUUUACCCUUGUAAUCUGCAUUUGACUAGGGACUAUUAUGUGGAUUAUUCAUGUAUUAUCUUUAGUGGAUUUUAUAGUGUAAUUCUUAUUGGAUUUUAUAGUGUAAUUCUCAGUGGGCUUACAGACACUGUAAUAUUUCAGUGGAUUCUACCCUUAGUGAAUUUGACUAGGGCUGUUAGUUGGUUUUUACCCUUGUACUCUGCAGUUGAGUAGGGUCUAUUAUGUGGAUUUUUUGGUCUGAGCAUUUUUCAGGUAGCCAAUCUCUGUCUUGUUUAAUUUACUUUCAUGCAUUUGGUUGUUUCUUUAUUUUAUUUUUUACCCUGAUGUCAUUUUGGUUUUGCUGUGUAGGUUGCAAAAGUCUCUUGCUCUUGAAUCUACGAAGAAAGCAUCAAAUGAUUCGUCAGUUAGUAAAUCUGCUGGUAAUGUUUUGUCAAACGAGGGUACAAAGGAUGGUCCAAAUUUGGUUUCUUGUGUGUACUAUGUAGUAUCAGUGCUUAGUUUUUUUAGUUCAGUGUGAUCUUCAUAGUAAUUACAUUUAAAAGAUCAUAGUAAUUCUAAGUUCAAGUGGCAGUAAUUUGUUGUUUUAUACAGUUCCAAAGUUUCUAAUAUUCAAUCAUAGUUUCAUUUUGGAUUCUGAGCAGGAACAAAUUGGUUUC